rnacentral:rRNA from 1 species
UAUUGAGAGUUUGAUCCUGGCUCAGGAUGAACGCUGGCGGCGUGCUUAACACAUGCAAGUCGAACGGAGCACCCCUGACGGAGUUUUCGGACAACGAAAGGGAAUGCUUAGUGGCGGACGGGUGAGUAACGCGUGAGUAACCUGCCUUGGAGUGGGGAAUAACAGCCGGAAACGGCUGCUAAUACCGCAUGAUGUAUCUGGAUCGCAUGGUUCUGGAUACCAAAGAUUUAUUGCUCUGAGAUGGACUCGCGUCUGAUUAGCUAGUUGGUGAGGUAACGGCUCACCAAGGCGACGAUCAGUAGCCGGACUGAGAGGUUGGCCGGCCACAUUGGGACUGAGACACGGCCCAGACUCCUACGGGAGGCAGCAGUGGGGAAUAUUGGGCAAUGGGCGAAAGCCUGACCCAGCAACGCCGCGUGAAGGAAGAAGGCCCUCGGGUUGUAAACUUCUUUUGUCAGGGACGAAGCAAGUGACGGUACCUGACGAAUAAGCCACGGCUAACUACGUGCCAGCAGCCGCGGUAAUACGUAGGUGGCAAGCGUUAUCCGGAUUUACUGGGUGUAAAGGGCGUGUAGGCGGGAGUGCAAGUCAGAUGUGAAAACUAUGGGCUCAACCCAUAGCCUGCAUUUGAAACUGUACUUCUUGAGUGAUGGAGAGGCAGGCGGAAUUCCCUGUGUAGCGGUGAAAUGCGUAGAUAUAGGGAGGAACACCAGUGGCGAAGGCGGCCUGCUGGACAUUAACUGACGCUGAGGCGCGAAAGCGUGGGGAGCAAACAGGAUUAGAUACCCUGGUAGUCCACGCCGUAAACGAUGGAUACUAGGUGUGGGGGGUCUGACCCCCUCCGUGCCGCAGUUAACACAAUAAGUAUCCCACCUGGGGAGUACGAUCGCAAGGUUGAAACUCAAAGGAAUUGACGGGGGCCCGCACAAGCGGUGGAGUAUGUGGUUUAAUUCGAAGCAACGCGAAGAACCUUACCAGGACUUGACAUCCUACUAACGAAGCAGAGAUGCAUAAGGUGCCCUUCGGGGAAAGUAGAGACAGGUGGUGCAUGGUUGUCGUCAGCUCGUGUCGUGAGAUGUUGGGUUAAGUCCCGCAACGAGCGCAACCCUUAUUGUUAGUUGCUACGCAAGAGCACUCUAGCGAGACUGCCGUUGACAAAACGGAGGAAGGUGGGGACGACGUCAAAUCAUCAUGCCCCUUAUGUCCUGGGCCACACACGUACUACAAUGGCGGUCAACAGAGGGAAGCAAAGCCGCGAGGUGGAGCAAAUCCCUAAAAGCCGUCCCAGUUCGGAUUGCAGGCUGAAACUCGCCUGUAUGAAGUCGGAAUCGCUAGUAAUCGCGGAUCAGCAUGCCGCGGUGAAUACGUUCCCGGGCCUUGUACACACCGCCCGUCACACCAUGAGAGUCGGGAACACCCGAAGUCCGUAGCCUAACAGCAAUGGGGGCGCGGCCGAAGGUGGGUUCGAUAAUUGGGGUGAAGUCGUAACAAGGUAGCCGUAUCGGAAGGUGCGGCUGGAUCACCUCCUU